rnacentral:rRNA from 1 species
CACGUAGGGUGCGAGCGUUGUCCGGAAUUAUGGGGCGUAAAGAGCUCGUAGGCGGUGUGUCGCGUCGGCCGUGAAAACCUGCAGCUUAACUGUGGGCUUGCGGUCGAUACGGGCAUCACUGGAGUUCGGCAGGGGAGACUGGAAUUCCUGGUGUAGCGGUGAAAUGCGCAGAUAUCAGGAGGAACACCGGUGGCGAAGGCGGGUCUCUGGGCCGAUACUGACGCUGAGGAGCGAAAGCGUGGGGAGCGAACAGG